rnacentral:ncRNA from 1 species
UGAAGGGGGAGUUUUCACUUUAUAUGUGGAUUUUACUUUUAUUUUGUGGCAAAAGUUUUAUUUUAACUUGAGGUUUGGCUAUGUAAUUUAUGUAUAUGUGAUUCAUUGAGAAUUUUAGUUUUUGAAAGACUAGGAAAUUCUUGCAGUGUAUAAAAUUAAGUAUUUAAGAAAUUAAGACUUAGAGAUUUACGUUAAGUACAAACAUAAUUUGUGCCAGCAGUUGCGGUUACACAAAUUGUGCAGGCCAAUUUUAUUUAAUGUAAUUAAAUGUAUAAUAUUAUAAAUUAAUUUUAAAUUUUUUAGGUGAAAUUUUAAGUUUAAUUUUAUUUAAUCAAGUUUUGUUGAAGUUAAGAAAUUCUAUGAUAGACUAGGAUUAGAUACCCUAUUAUUAGGAAUGUAAAUUGUUUAGUUGAAAUUACUAACAGCUAUGGUCUUUAAAAUUAAAAAAUUUGGCGGUAUUUUAGUCUAUUCAGAGGAACCUGUUUUUUAAUUGAUAAUCCACGAUUACUUUUACUUUAAAUUUCAGCUUGUAUAUCGCCGUAGCUUGAAUAUCCUAGGAGGGCUAGAAUGUUCAUUAAACUUAAUUAAGUCAGAAUUCAGGUCAAGGUGCAGUUUAUUUUAAAGUUAAAAUGGGUUACAUUGUAGUAAUAUUUGGUCCAUGAGUUUGAAAAGCCUAGGUAAAUUGGAUUUGAAAGUAAUUUUGUAUCUUUAUACAGAAUGAUUAUGCUCUAAAAUAUGCACAUAUCGCCCGUCGCUUUCGCUUAAGGUGGAAUAAGUCGUAACAAAGUAGGCCUAUUGGAAAAUGGGCCUAGAAUUCA